rnacentral:rRNA from 1 species
CACGCUGGCGGCGUGCCUAAUACAUGCAAGUCGAACGAAGAAGUAAGCUUGCUUACUUCUUAGUGGCGAACGGGUGAGUAAUACAUAAGCAAUCUGCCCAUAUGCCUGGGAUAACCGUUGGAAACGAUGGCUAAUACCGGAUAGGUGAAUUGAAGGCAUCUUUGAUUCAUUAAAGUUGGGAUACAACACAUAUGGAUGAGCUUAUGGCGCAUUAGCUAGUUGGUGAGGUAACGGCUCACCAAGGCGAUGAUGCGUAGCCGACCUGAGAGGGUGACCGGCCACACUGGGACUGAGACACGGCCCAGACUCCUACGGGAGGCAGCAGUAGGGAAUUUUCGGCAAUGGGGGAAACCCUGACCGAGCAACGCCGCGUGAGUGAAGAAGGCCUUCGGGUUGUAAAGCUCUGUUGUAAGGGAAGAAGAGAUCAUAGAGGGAAUGCUAUGAUUGUGACGGUACCUUACCAGAAAGCCACGGCUAACUACGUGCCAGCAGCCGCGGUAAUACGUAGGUGGCGAGCGUUAUCCGGAAUUAUUGGGCGUAAGGGUGCGUAGGCGGCACAUUAAGUCUAAGGUAAGUUCGAGGCUCACUUCGGAUUGCCUUAAAAACUGUGAACUAAAUGCAGGAA